UACGAAGGGGGCUAGCGUUGCUCGGAAUUACUGGGCGUAAAGGGCGCGUAGGCGGACAGUUAAGUCAGAGGUGAAAGCCCAGGGCUCAACCCUGGAAUAGCCUUUGAUACUGGCUGUCUUGAGUGCGGGAGAGGUGUGUGGAACUCCGAGUGUAGAGGUGAAAUUCGUAGAUAUUCGGAAGAACACCAGUGGCGAAGGCGACACACUGGCCCGUAACUGACGCUGAGGUGCGAAAGCGUGGGGAGCAAACAGG
rnacentral:rRNA from 1 species